UACGUAGGGGGCAAGCGUUGUCCGGAUUUAUUGGGCGUAAAGAGCGUGUAGGCGGCCAGAUAGGUCCGUUGUGAAAACUGGAGGCUUAACCUCCAGCUGUCGAUGGAAACCAUCUGGCUAGAGUCCGGAAGAGGAGAGUGGAAUUCCUGGUGUAGCGGUGAAAUGCGCAGAUAUCAGGAAGAACACCCGUGGCGAAGGCGGCAUCCUGGACCAAUUCUGACGCUGAGUGAGCGAAAGCCAGGGGAGCAAACGGG
rnacentral:rRNA from 1 species